AUACGUAGGGUGCGAGCGUUGUCCGGAAUUACUGGGCGUAAAGAGCUCGUAGGUGGUUUGUCGCGUCGUCUGUGAAAUUCCGGGGCUUAACUCCGGGCGUGCAGGCGAUACGGGCAUAACUUGAGUACUGUAGGGGAGACUGGAAUUCCUGGUGUAGCGGUGAAAUGCGCUGAUAUCAGGAGGAACACCGGUGGCGAAGGCGGGUCUCUGGGCAGUAACUGACGCUGAGGAGCGAAAGCAUGGGUAGCGAACAGGAUUAGAUACCCUGGUAGUCCAUGCCGUAACCGGUGGGCGCUAGGUGUAGGGGUCUUCCACGACUUCUGUGCCGUAGCUAACGCAUUAAGCGCCCCGCCUGGGGAGUACGGCCGCAAGGCUAAAACUCAAAUGAAUUGACGGGG
rnacentral:rRNA from 1 species